AAUAAUGAGCUGGCGAUGACUUACUCUCACAUGGGUAACCCCACACUACCAUCAGCGCUAAGAGGUUUCACUUCUGAGUUCGGGAAGGGAUCAGGUGGUUCACUCUUGCUAUGGUCGCCAGCACAACUGUUGAUGGACUUGUUCGGGUCUGAUUUAACUGCGGUGCAGUAUGUGCCGUACUUUGGUCCAAAUGAGUUAUUAACAGCGGGCAGAUCUGGGUCUGAAUUGUAUGUUCCAGCAUUAGGCUGAAUCAAGGGAUAUUGCAUAUUUAUGAAUCGAUUGAUGCUUUGUAUACAACUGUUUGGGUGUUGUAUAGUCAAGCCUCACGAGCAAUUAGUAUUGGUCAGC
rnacentral:rRNA from 1 species